UACAGCGGUCCAUACAUGCGAAUACUUUUGUCCACGCUAGUCUUGUGGGGUGCACAUCUGCGAAAAGGGAUCUGUCGUGCAGAGUGUGCAGACGUGCAGUGUGGUACGUCUAGUUUUUUAUUCCAUGGGCCCAAUACUGUCUUCUCUAAAGUUGUCUGGGUGGCGUGGACCCAGGUUAGGCCCCUGUCCUGCUUCGGUCUCACACACCAAAUCCCUUUUCUGAUUGGGGGCAUUGACCACACUGAGCCGGCAACAAAUUGGGCACUCGAGAUCGACAGGGGCGACAACCGAUUCAGUGGUGCGCGAGGUGGCGUACGUUUUGGGCGCCGCCGGUCCAGUCGUGGCCGAUUCGGUCGUAGGCGUGGACUCACCGGAGAUGCGUCCGUUGGAUCAGGGCCGGGCUCUUCGGGGCCAGGCCGGUGCCUUGCCUGAUCUCGAGUUCUCCGGCGCGUCCUGUACGACGUUCAGUUCUGGGAGCUGAGGUGUGGCGUCGGUAGGCGCCGGCAACGGGGCACCCACCGUGGACUCGUGCAGCGGGAUUUAGUCCUUCCGCCCUGGUGCCGCGACAGCGGCAAACACCACUAUACGCGUUGGCUGGAAGCGCAUGUACCUCCUGCAUCUUUUUGGCUGAGACGAAGGCGCAUUUUUUAGUGUGCUUAAAGAAAACCAUUUUGUCCUGGCCCCGGGGCACCUUGGGCACAAGAUCAAUGGCAACGGUGGUGGAGUUGCCCGGAGACGACGAGCAGAAGAGGAGCUCUGGGACAUCUCAGCAUAGCGGCGAUGGAUCAGGAUAGUGAGAUGCUUUGCGUGGUGGAAGACGUUGCCAGCCAUCAGUACUGAACUGCGACGUGUGAGAGUAAUCGGUCUGGUUGCAUGGUCAUUAAAUGCAUCUGUGAUGAAAAGAGUUUACGUUAUACAGUGCACCAUGCGUUUUUCGUCCGCUCGCCUGCGCGCGUACUCGGCGUGUCAGAUCUUGUUGUCAGGUGUCGUCCUUUUGAAUACGGAUAUACGCCACAUAUCACUCUCCAACAGUUGCCUAUACUCUAACUGCUCGGCUGCUUCCAAUCGCGACGGCACGCGCGCCGUUGAUGCGGUGCGUGUAGAUGCCACUGCGUGCAGCGAUGCACUUCUCGUAGUAACCGUCUUAGACUCGAAACGAAAAGAUCUUCAGAACUAUGUGGACAUGACUCAAAUGCUCGAGAAAAAAGUUAAAUCGAUCAUUAUCCACCAU